AGAAAAAAAGACAAUCAGGACUCUGUGAUGUUUUUUCAGUGCUUCCCACUCACACUCCAUCCACUCAGGUGAUCCUGUUCAUGCCUUCCACCGGUGGGUC